UACAGAGGGUGCAAGCGUUAAUCGGAGUUACUGGGCGUAAAGGGUGCGUAGGUGGGUGAUUAAGUUGGAUGUGAAAUCCCUGGGCUUAACCUGGGAAGGUCAUUCAAAACUGGUCAUCUAGAGUACUGUAGAGGGUAGUGGAAUUUCCGGUGUAGCGGUGAAAUGCGUAGAGAUCGGAAGGAACAUCAGUGGCGAAGGCGGCUACCUGGACAGAUACUGACACUGAGGCACGAGAGCGUGGGGAGCGAACAGG
rnacentral:rRNA from 1 species